AACGAACGCUGGCGGCAGGCCUAACACAUGCAAGUCGAGCGCCCCGCCAGGGGAGCGGCGGACGGGUGAGUAACGCGUGGGAAUAUGCCCUUUGCUACGGAAUAGUCUCGGGAAACUGGGGGUACUACCGUAUACGCCCUUUGGGGGAAAGAUUUAUCGGCGAAGGAUUAGCCCGCGUUGGAUUAGGUAGUUGGUGGGGUAAUGGCCUACCAAGCCGACGAUCCAUAGCUGGUUUGAGAGGAUGAUCAGCCACACUGGGACUGAGACACGGCCCAGACUCCUACGGGAGGCAGCAGUGGGGAAUCUUAGACAAUGGGGGCAACCCUGAUCGAGCCAUGCCGCGUGAGUGAUGAAGGCCUUAGGGUUGUAAAGCUCUUUCAGCUGGGAAGAUAAUGACGGUACCAGCAGAAGAAGCCCCGGCUAACUCCGUG
rnacentral:rRNA from 1 species